UUUUGUAAAGAAGAGGGAACUUUAAUUCUCUUCCUUUCAAUUGUAUUGUCUCGGGUCCAGUCCUCCAUUUUAUCCAAGUCUCCAAUUUUAAAUACCUUUUUGCAUAUUAUCCAACAAAUUUGGUAUCGGAGACUUGUUCUUGCCCCCGUUAUAAAAUACUUAUGGCAGCCAAUAACCAAUCAAUCUUUAGUUAUGCCCAAAAUCUAAUUCCCAUCUUUACUAGUGAGAGUUAUGAUUUUUGGUGCAUCCAAAUGAAAACUCUUUUUAUCUCACAAGAUUUGUGGAAUAUCAUUGAAGAAGGCUAUGAUGUGCCUGCAAGUCUGGAGCAACUAUAGUCUUGCACGGAAGCAGCAAAGAAGGAGUAGAAGGAGAACAUCCAAAGGAAUGCAUGAGCACUACUUUUCAUUCAACAAGGGGUAAGCAAAAGUUUGUUCCCUAGAAUAUCAAAUGCAACAAAAUCUAAAGCUGCAUGGGAAAUUCUGAAACAACAAUUUGGAGGUCAUGAAAAGUUGCAGCUAUAGAAGAGUUCAAAGAUUUGGAAACAUAUUCUUUGGAUCAACUAUUUGGCUCUCUCGAAGCACAUGAAAAAAGAAUGAGCAGGUUUUCUAACCAACCUGUGGAGCAAGCAUUCAAAUCAAAUUGCAAGAUCACAAAAAGGAAUACGGCAACCUCAAAAAGCAACUCAACAAGAGGAGGUUCCUUCAGAAAAGGACAUGGUAUUCAAGGCCGAGGCAGAGGAGGAAGAAACAAUUAUGAGCAAAGAAAUUUCCCGGGUAAUUAUAAACCUUAUUGCAUUAUUUGCAAAAAACUUGGGCAUGAGUCAAAAAAUUGUUAUUUUAAAUGCACAAAGUGCAAAAUUUCUAAUCAUUCACAAAGAGAUUGUUGGUAUAAAGACCUGCAAGAAAUGAAUGAAGUUAACUAUUUUGAAAAGGUUGAAGAUAGUCAAGUAUUUUAGUCAUGUAUGUCUGUUCAACAAUAAUCAAAGCAUACAAGGUGUUUGGGUAGUGGAUGCAAUAAUCAUAUGACAGGUGAUCCACAACUCUUUGUUAAGAUGGAUAAAAAAAAUUUAUUCGAAGUAAAGCUUGGAGAUGGAAAGACACAUGAAGUCAAAGGAAAAGGAGUAAUAGCAGUAAACUCCAAAAGAGGUAACUCUAAGUGUUGGCCAAUUACUCUGAAAGAAUUAUUCUGUAAUUUUUGAUGGAGAAGAAAGCAAAAUUUUCGAUAAAAAUAAAAACAUCAUGGUGGCAAAAAUAAAAAUGACUCAAAAUAAUGUAUUUCCUCUUAUUAUGCCACAUGAUGUAAAAUUAGCUUUUCAAAGUGAAAAAUUGGAUGCGUCAUACUUAUGGCAUCUAAGAUAUGGGCAUUUAAAUUAUAAUGGCCUAAAAUUAUUAAAAGAAAAAAAUAUGGUUUUAGGCCUACCUCAUAUUCCCCACAUAGAUAAAGUUUGUGAGGGAUGCAUAUAUGGAAAAAUGCACAGAAUGCCAUUUCCCAAAAAUACCUGAAGAGCAAAGGCACCAUUAGAGUUGGUACAUUUUGAUAUUUUUGGACUAACUCGAACUCCAUCUCUGAAUGGAAGAAGGUACUUCCUUCUGUUUGUUGAUGAUUAUACCCGAAUGAUGUGGGUAUAUUUUCUGAAAGAAAAGUCAGAAGUUUUUUCGGUAUUCCAAGAAGUUAAGGCGCUUGUAGAAAAGCAAGUCGAAAAGCCACCGAAGACAUUUUGAACAGAUCGUCGUGGAGAAUUCAUUUCUAAACCUUUUAUGGAGUAUUGCAAGAAAAAUGGAGUUCAAAGACAGCUCACUGUUCGGCACACCCAGCAGCAAAAUGGUGUAGUAGAAGGAAAAAAAUAGAACAAUUGCAGAAAUGGCUAGAAGCAUGCUAAAGGAGAAAGGCCUUCCGAAUAAAUAUUGGGCAAAAGCCUUCAACACUGCCGUUUACAUUUUGAAUAGAUUUGUAACAAAAGCUGUCCUGAACAAGACUCCAUAUGAAGCAUGGAACAAACAAAAGGCCUUGGUAUUAUGAGAUUAAUUAUCAUUACAUUUGAACCA